UUCUGGAGCAGUUGGAAAGGGCAGUUGUGGACGGCAGUUGGACGGAGGAAUGAAAUCCUGAAGAGAUGCCCAGAGGAGGGGCAUGCCCAGGGCCGGCAGAGGGAAGAGAGAGUCCUAAGGAGAGGUUUUUCCCUGUUCAAACUCCCUUCUCCCCGCGGUUCCCCCAGAUCAAUCGCAUGGCCUAACAGAUGUAGAAGUCCCUCCCUCCCACAGGGAAGGGUACUUUCUCUACUCUGGAAGAGCAUGGAAGGAUUGAACCCAAGGCCUCAUGGAUGCCGAGUGUGCUCUGCCAUUGAACUGCAUCUCUAAACACUUUCCAGGGGAUGUGACGCUAGGUCAAGGUUGAGAACCAUUCAAUCAUCACAGAACUAGUAUCUGCAGUUGGCCCAACUCCAAAAGCUGUUUUGUCUUGUCUAUGCCACACCACCUGAAUGCUCCCAACAGACUGGCCUUGAACUUGCUAAAUAACCAAAGAUGACCUUGAAUAUAGAAUCCUCCUGCCUCCACUUCCUGAGCACUAGGAUUAUAGACAUGCACCACCACACCCAAUUUAUGCCAUGCUGGGGAUCGAACCCAAGGCUUCGAGAGUACGAGGAAAGGACUGAGCAUCACCUUCA